rnacentral:rRNA from 1 species
UUUCCGGUUGAUCCUGCCGGACCUGACCGCUAUCGGAUUGAUACUAAGCCAUGCGAGUCAUUGUAGCAAUACAAGGCAGACGGCUCAGUAACGCGUAGUCAACCUACCCUAUGGACGGGAAUAACCUCGGGAAACUGAGAAUAAUGCCCGAUAGAACAUUAUGCCUGGAAUGGUUUAUGUCUAAAAUGAUUUAUCGCCGUAGGAUGGGACUGCGGCCUAUCAGUUUGUUGGUGAGGUAAUGGCCCACCAAGACUAUUACAGGUACGGGCUCUGAGAGGAGUAGCCCGGAGAUGGGUACGGAGACACGGACCCAGGCCCUAUGGGGCGCAGCAGGCGAGAAAACUUUGCAAUGUGCGAAAGCACGACAAGGUUAAUCCGAGUGGUUUCUGCUAAAGGAACCUUUUGUCGGUCCUAGAAACACCGAUGAAUAAGGGGUGGGCAAGUUCUGGUGUCAGCCGCCGCGGUAAAACCAGCACCUCAAGUGGUCAGGAUGAUUAUUGGGCCUAAAGCAUCCGUAGCCUGCUCUGUAAGUUUUCGGUUAAAUCCAUAUGCUCAACAUAUGGGCUGCCGGGAAUACUGCAAAGCUAGGGAGUGGGAGAGGUAGACGGUACUUGGUAGGAAGGGGUAAAAUCCUUUGAUCUAUUGAUGACCACCUGUGGCGAAGGCGGUCUACCAGAACACGUCCGACGGUGAGGGAUGAAAGCUGGGGGAGCAAACCGGAUUAGAUACCCGGGUAGUCCCAGCUGUAAACAAUGCAAACUCAGUGAUGCAUUGGCUUGUGGCCAAUGCAGUGUUGCAGGGAAGCCGUUAAGUUUGCCGCCUGGGAAGUACGUACGCAAGUAUGAAACUUAAAGGAAUUGGCGGGGGAGCACCACAAGGGGUGAAGCCUGCGGUUCAAUUGGAGUCAACGCCGGGAAUCG